rnacentral:lncRNA from 1 species
CUAGGCACUUGCCUGUGGUGCCAUCGUCCCAGGGGCGCCAUUGUCCUGGGAGGAGGGCACCACUCUCCACUUCCUUCUCUUUUGGGGCUUCCGGCAGCCACGCUGGCCUCCCGGUGCCCGUGCUGGGCUUUCCGGCCGGCGCAGACCCACCUUCGCACCAUGGGAGCCCACCUUUGGGGCCUUCAGAGAUUGUGAGGUCUGUGGGAACUUGGAAGCUAGGUAUGUGGGGGUUUAUAUAUCUGUAGAAGGUCCAGGGUGGGAGAAAGAACUUUUCUUUGAAGCAGGAGUGAAUGUUGUAAUUAAUCACCUUGAUUAGCAUUUAAUGGCCCUGUGGCUUCAAGGCCUGGCUUCAUCUUGCCUGGGAGAAUCUUUUUUUGGGAGGUGUUAGCUGUCCCUGAUUGUUUACUGUCUGGAUUUCUUCUGUUUUCAGAGUGUUGUUCUUUAUUUAUUGUCCUGAUUUUAGAGUUUUUUUUAAUACUGAGGGCUAUCUGGGUUAUCUAAGUCCACACUGCCCUAUAUCCCUGUUCAAUGUUUAGUGCUAAAUUCGCAAAUAUAGUAAUUCCUACAUAACAUUACCAUGUAUUGAACUGCUUUUUCUAUUGAUUUGUUGUAAAACAUAAUGUUUUGGUGCUUAAUUUGUAAAAUCAUAAUGUAAUUUGAUGUUUAAUAGGCUUUUCCUUUAUCUUUCCUUAUUAUCCAACAUUUUCGCUUAUCCAACGCUUUUAUUUUUCAGUGAUUGGUAUGGGGGAGGGGGGGCACCAAAAUUCUGUUCGCCUACACUUGAAAAAUACCUAGGGCCGGCUCUGGCUAAGGACGGCAGCUUAUGGUCACUCAGGGGAAAGGCUGAGAAUAUAAGCUGACCGGGAGUUUAGUAUACUGUUUUGAAGAGAAGUUAUUUAAGAAAUAUCCAUUCAAGAAAGACUACAUUGUAACUUAAGAUCCUGUUUAUGUAUUGGAACCAUACGCUUAUGUACAAAUAAAGAUUGAAUUUUGUUAUUGUUCACAAAGAUCAAUCUCCUUGCCUCUCUGUAAGCCUGUUACCUCACGUUGGUGGCAGUUACCGUACCUAUCUAUAUAAGUUACCGUACUUUUCUAUAUAAGUUACCAUCUUUACUCAUUUAAACCCAAUCAGUUCCGUUAUCCUUCCUUAUCCACUAAAUCAUCCCUGUCAUACAUUCACACAUCCUCCAUCCCUCCCUCUCACACGCGCGCACAUCUCCUGAAUUGGAGGCAGCAGUGGGAUUUUAAAAAGGAUUUCCCCUGCCUGAGUUGAGUACCACAAAUUGGGCUCUCCUCAACAUGCCACUACAAAAAUAUAUUUGGUUAGCAGAAGAUGGUUGUUUCUUUGAAGUUGAAAUUGUACCUGCAGUUGUAAUUGCCCAAAAGAUACACACUCCCUUGAAACCUCUAAGUUCAAAACAUGCACUCUGAGAUAAAAAAACAAAGUCUUCCUUGAAAAAUAACAUAUCUUGUUUAUUUACAAACAUGUAUUAAUUCACCAUGCAGGCACAUUUCUUAUUAAAGUUCACUUAUAGAUAGGAUAUAGUUCUUUGUGUGUUGAGUACACAGGAUAUCAUUUUAACGAUAUGUUGAUUUUAACGAUUGUUUUUACUGUAAUUGAUGUUUUUAUUGGAUAACUGUUUUAUUGCUGUGUUUUGAUAUUUGAUUGUUUUAUCGGGCAAGGCCCCAUGUAAGCCGCCCCGAGUCCCUUCGGGGAGAUGGGGCGGGGUAUAAAAAUAAAGUUAUUAUUAUUAUUAUUAUUAUUAUUAUUAUUAUUAUUAUCAUUCUUAAUCAAUAGUCCAUAGUCUUUAGGAAUAGUUGUACUCACUGAAGUCCAUAAGUCAUACUUCUCUACUGAAGUCCAAACAGCAACAUGCAUCCACCUCCACUGAGAUGUAAAGCAAAUCGAAUACUAAAUGGAGUCCUGAGUCUGAACAUGCUCAGUACAAUCACACGUCUAUAACUCCUCCCACACCAAAGAGGUACAGUCAAACUGGCAUAGCAACAUACCCAUGGAAUAUAGGUUAGCAAAUAUAUACAUUAACAAAUAAAUAGUGAGACGCUUGGGAGGUUGCUACUUCCAACAUGCCAAAAUCAGGCCCAUGCCAUAAUAUUUCUUAUUUCUAAGUACAGCUGAGAAAGCUCACCAUUGAAAAAUCAACUAAUUUGUUUAAAAAAUAGUGCUGGUGGACAGCACUAUGGAUAUCAUGGAUUGCCAAAAAGAGAAAUGAAUAGUUCCUAAAGCAAAUCAAACACUACUUCUUUAGAAGUGAAAAUGACCCAAGUGAAGCUGUCAUAUUUUGGACAUAUUGUGGCUCAUUAGAAAAGAUAGUAAACACCCUGAGUUUGUAGGAUGUCAGCAAGGCAUUUUUGUGGGUCUUAGGAUGGAUUUACACUAUCAUAUUAUGCAGUUUCAGAAUGCAAAUAAACUGGAUUGCACUGGAUUAUAUGGCAGUGCAGACUCAUAUAAUCCAGUAAAACAUAGUUAAUCUUUAUUUAUUAUUAUUAUUAUUAUUAUUAUUAUUAUUAUUAUUAUUAUUAUUAUUAUUAUUAUUAUUAUGAAACUGCAUUAGAUGGCAGUACAGAUCCAACUUUAGGCAACUUUCAUUCUAAGUGAAAAACCCCAGAGUUGUAUGGCUGAAAUACAAAACAUGUGUCUCCUCAUAU